AACGAACGCUGGCGGCAUGCCUAACACAUGCAAGUCGAACGAUCCCUUCGGGGAUAGUGGCGCACGGGUGCGUAACGCGUGGGAACCUGCCCUUAGGUUCGGAAUAACUCAGAGAAAUUUGAGCUAAUACCGGAUAAUGUCUUCGGACCAAAGAUUUAUCGCCUUUGGAUGAGCCCGCGUUGGAUUAGCUAGUUGGUGGGGUAAAGGCCUACCAAGGCGACGAUCCAUAGCUGGUCUGAGAGGAUGAUCAGCCACACUGGGACUGAGACACGGCCCAGACUCCUACGGGAGGCAGCAGUGGGGAAUAUUGGACAAUGGGCGAAAGCCUGAUCCAGCAAUGCCGCGUGAGUGAUGAAGGCCUUAGGGUUGUAAAGCUCUUUUACCCGGGAUGAUAAUGACAGUACCGGGAGAAUAAGCCCCGGCUAACUCCGUG
rnacentral:rRNA from 1 species